GGUAGGUCUCAUAAACAUGUAAGUGAUCAUGUAUAAGUGCGAUUGUAUAUAUUUUAAGAGUUAUUAUAAGGGUCUAAUUACUUUUAUAUAAUGUUACUACAAGAUCAGAAUUUGGCAAAGUUCCUUCGGUUGCAGCUAAAUCCAGAAAAUGCUAUAUGAGCAUCGAUGCCUUGAAGGAAUUGGAGCCUUUCACUGAACUACGUGCCAUUGCAGUAAGUUAUUACUUUAGAUGAAUCGAUGCUUUAUUUUCUACUUGAACAUGUUUGGGUUGUAUAUUGUAGUUGGUGGAUCUUUAGUUGAAUUAUGGAUUUAUUGGGUACUCAAAUAUAUUUGAAUUGUGCAAUGUAGUUGGUGAAUAAUUGAGCAGCUAUAUGUAUUUUGGGUUCUCUAAUGUAGUUUAUGCAUAUUUUUGUUGAAUUGUUGCUUUGUUUCAUACUUUAGCAUUUGUUAGUUGUGUUAGUAGUUGGUCGAUCUUUUAUAUGAAUUAUUGUGUUUUUUUCUACUUGAACAUCUUUGGGUUGAGCAAUGUAAUUGGGGGAUUUUUAUUUGGAUUAUUGUUUUAUUAUAUACUCCGUAUCAAAUAGGUCAUGUUAAUGCAGCUUUUGAUAUUACUCGGGCGAAUUUGACAGAGUCUAUCAAGAAUGUAUGAAUGAGAGUCUAUCAAG
rnacentral:lncRNA from 1 species